rnacentral:rRNA from 1 species
AAUAUUAGACAAUGGGCGAAAGCCUGAUCCAGCCAUGCCGCGUGUGUGAAGAAGGUCUUCGGAAUGUACAGCACUUACCAUUGGGAGGAAGAGCAGUAAGUUAAUACCUUGCUGUUUUGACGUUACCGACAGAAUAAGCACCGGCUAACUUCGUGCCAGCAGCCGCGGUAAUACGAAGGGUGCAAGCGUUAAUCGGAAUUACUGGGCGUAAAGCGCGCGUAGGUGGUUUGUUAUGUUGGAAGUGAAAGCCCCGGGCUCAACCUGGGAACUGCUUUCAUAACUGCUGAGCUAGAGUACGGUAGAGGGUAGUGGAAUUUCCUGUGUAGCGGUGAAAUGCGUAGAUAUAGGAAGGAACACCAUUGGCGAAGGCGACUACCUGGACUGAUACUGACACUGAGGUGCGAAAGCGUGGGGAGCAAAC